GAUGAACGCUGGCGGCGUGCCUAAUACAUGCAAGUCGAGCGAAUGGAUUAAGAGCUUGCUCUUAUGAAGUUAGCGGCGGACGGGUGAGUAACACGUGGGUAACCUGCCCAUAAGACUGGGAUAACUCCGGGAAACCGGGGCUAAUACCGGAUAACAUUUUGAACCGCAUGGUUCGAAAUUGAAAGGCGGCUUCGGCUGUCACUUAUGGAUGGACCCGCGUCGCAUUAGCUAGUUGGGGAGGUAACGGCUCACCAAGGCAACGAUGCGUAGCCGACCUUGGAAGGUGAUCGGCCACACUGGGACUGAGACACGGCCCAGACUCCUACGGGAGGCAGCAGUAGGGAAUCUUCCGCAAUGGACGAAAGUCUGACGGAGCAACGCCGCGUGAGUGAUGGAGGCUUUCGGGUCGUAAAACUCUGUUGUUAGGGAAGAACAAGUGCUAGUUGAAUAAGCUGGCACCUUGACGGUACCUAACCAGAAAGCCACGGCUAACUACGUGCCAGCCGCCGCGGUAA
rnacentral:rRNA from 1 species